CGCUCUUUGAAAUGUCCGGCGCCGGAAUGUCUGGGUGCUUUGGUUGGAGAGGGUCCCAUUUCCAGUCAUUCUUCAGCCUGGUGAUUCCCGCGCUCCCCUGAGGAGCAUAUGAAGUACGUCGGUUCUGCCAGGUUGGAACGCGCUGCUGGACACUCGGCCGUAAGGCGGAUCCCGGAUCCCCUCCCACUCCGACCCUUCCCUCCAGAAGGGCCGGUUCCCAAACGGCCCCUUUAGACACAUCCAAGCGGUUGCCGACGGCCCUCACGAUGAAAACUGCUGUCCGUUGGUGAAGGCAGCCUCUUCUGUGCUCCUCGCCGCUGACUUCCUGAGGCGGACCUACCUGUGGAGGCAUACCAGGAACCAGACGAUGACCCCCUCCAAAAGUUGGGUCUUUGAGGAGAGCUACUAACUUGGGUUCCUGGUACACCCUCUACAUGCAGUGGUGAAGCUUAUCUAACAGUCAUUCAUAGAAUCAGUUUGGGAAGGGGAAUUUUCACUGAACUCUCAUAGAGAAACUGUGUUUUAGAUAACAGAAAGUUCUGCACGGUUAAAAUGGAACAGAAAUUUUUUUGCACAGAAAUUAGGAUUACCGAAAAUACUGAAGAAAGACUACCUCUGAUUGGACUCUUCUCAAGGAAUUAAUAAUUCAAGAACUAAGGAAAGAAAAAAGUGAUUAUAUGAAAAUACUGAAGUUGAUCGUAGCAGCUGAAGGCUGAUCCUGUGUGGAAUGUCACAUAAAUGGAAUCAUACUGUGUCCGGAAUUGGUGGGUUCUUGGUCUCACUGACUUCAAGAAUGACGCCAUGGGCCCUCGCGGUGAGUGUUACAGCUCUUAAGGUGGCGCGUCUGGAGUUUGUUCCUUCUGAUGUUCGGAUGUGUUCGGAGUUUCUUCCUUCUGGUGGGUUCGUGGUCUCGCUGGCUCAGGAGUGAAGCUGCAGACUUUCGCGAUUUCAUCUCUCUCUCUGCUAUGGACACAGAUGGCUUCACUCCAUCCUGUAUUCUUCGGACCAUGAUAAAAUUCCAGACUCUCGGUAGUUUUUGCGUUCCAAGAAGUAGAGCCUAGAGUGGUGGCCUAUAAUUACAGUUACUCAGGAGGCUGAGGCAGGAGGAUCCUUUGAGUCCAGCAGUUUGAGGCCAGCCUGGACACCACAGCAAGACCACCAAUAAAUAAAUAAAUAAAUGGAACAUGUU
rnacentral:lncRNA from 1 species